UGGUGCCAGCAGCCGCGGUAAUUCCAGCUCCAAUAGCGUAUAUUAAAGUUGUUGCAGUUAAAAAGCUCGUAGUUGAAUUUCGGGGUUAGUAGGUUGGUCAUGCCUCUGGUAUGUACUGGUCUCACUGAUUCCUCCUUCCUGAUGAACCGUAAUGCCAUUAAUUUGGUGUUGCGGGGAAUUUGGACUGUUACUUUGAAAAAAUUAGAGUGUUUAAAGCAAGCUAACGCUUGAAUACAUUAGCAUGGAAUAAUGAAAUAGGACGUUCGAUCCUAUUUUGUUGGUUUCUAGGAUUGACGUAAUGAUUAAUAGGGAUAGUUGGGGGCAUUAGUAUUCAAUUGUCAGAGGUGAAAUUCUUGGAUUUAUUGAAGACUAACUACUGCGAAAGCAUUUGCCAGGGAUGUUUUCAUUAAUCAAGAACGAAAGUUAGGGGAUCGAAGACGAUCAGAUACCGUCGUAGUCUUAACCAUAAACUAUGCCGACUAGGGA
rnacentral:rRNA from 1 species